rnacentral:rRNA from 1 species
AUUGAACGCUGGCGGCAGGCCUAACACAUGCAAGUCGAGCGGAUGAAGGGAGCUUGCUCCUGGAUUCAGCGGCGGACGGGUGAGUAAUGCCUAGGAAUCUGCCUGGUAGUGGGGGAUAACGUCCGGAAACGGGCGCUAAUACCGCAUACGUCCUGAGGGAGAAAGUGGGGGAUCUUCGGACCUCACGCUAUCAGAUGAGCCUAGGUCGGAUUAGCUAGUUGGUGGGGUAAAGGCCUACCAAGGCGACGAUCCGUAACUGGUCUGAGAGGAUGAUCAGUCACACGGGAACUGAGACACGGGCCAGACCCCCAGGGGAGGCAGCAGGGGGAAAUUUUGGACAAUGGGCGAAAGCCUGAUCCAGCCAGGCCGGGUGUGUGAAGAAGGUUUUCGGAUUGUAAAGCCCUUUAAGUUGGGAGGAAGGGCAGUAAGUUAAUACCUUGCUUUUUUGACGUUACCAAAAAAAUAAGCACCGGCUAACUUCGU